CCUACGUGGUGCAGCAGUGGGGGAUAUUGGACAAUGGGGGGAACCCUGAUCCAGCGACGCCGCGUGAGUGAAGAAGUAUUUCGGUAUGUAAAGCUCUGUCAGCAGGGAAGAAAGCAAUGACGGUACCUGACCAAGAAGCCCCGGCUAACUACGUGCCAGCAGCCGCGGUAAUACGUAGGGGGCAAGCGUUAUCCGGAUUUACUGGGUGUAAAGGGAGCGUAGGUGGCAUGGCAAGCCAGAAGUGAAAACCCGGGGCUUAACCCCGCGGAUUGCUUUUGGAACUGUCAGGCUGGAGUGCAGGAGGGGCAGGCGGAAUUCCUGGUGUAGCGGUGAAAUGCGUAGAGAUCAGGAUGAACACCGGUGGCGAAGGCGGCCUGCUGGACUGUAACUGACACUGAGGCUCGAAAGCGUGGGGAGCAAACAGGAUUAGAUACCCGUGUAGUC
rnacentral:rRNA from 1 species